CGGGCGGAGUCUACUUGCGGUCGGAGUCGUGGGCGGAAUCCGGCUCCCGUAGGAGUCCGGACGGAGUCUUCCUUGGCGUCGUGGACAGAGCCUGCAAGGGUCAAUCCCGCUGAGAACUUCGGUCAUGGGUAUUUUAUACCCAACACCAGUCUCCCUACUUCCGAGUUUGAAUUUUGAAAGAAGGAAGUACAGAGAGGUUGUCGCAGCCAAAGUUCCCUCCC
rnacentral:lncRNA from 1 species